rnacentral:lncRNA from 10 species
GGAAGCCAGGUCUGAGGCUGCGUCGCGCUCCUAGGUGGAAGUGGGGUUUCUGAGCAGUUGUUCUGGGCCAUGGUUGCAGCUGUGCUCUGAGCCUCAAGGGGGUGGCCAGGAGGAAUUUCCUUUCCCAUUUUCCAGAUGUACAAACCAAGACUUAGAGACUACCUGUGACUUGCCAAUGCCUUUCCCUGCUCUCAGGGCAGAGGUAGAGGAAGGCAGCCAGGAUUGCAGUGACCAGGUUGUCAUCAGCCACAAAGCCCUCUGAGUUCUCAUGUUGCAGGUGACUGGCCCUUAGGCCAUGUAGUGACAUUAAAGUCCUAUUGGUCACAACCCUAAACUCCUCUCCACAGAAUGUCUUUGAGGCUUAGAAGGGAGGGAAGGUGUCAGUGCUUCCUCCAUUCUGGAUACCCUUCUUGCAAGCUCCUCAUCCAGGGCCUGAGGCUCCCACCUCGUGUCACCUCAAGACAGCCAGAGAGGAUGAAAUCUUUGGCUUGGGCUUCCAGGGCUGUCAUAGGCAGAGGGCAAGCCAGGAUUUGAAAUAGGGAGGCCAGAAACACUGCUGGCCAAGGAAGUGGCUUGGCCUUGGGAAGCAAGAAGGCAGCAACCUCUAGGCGCCCCUUCUCU